GACGAACGCUGGCGGCGUGCUUAACACAUGCAAGUCGAACGGAAAGGCCCUGCUUUUGUGGGGUGCUCGAGUGGCGAACGGGUGAGUAACACGUGAGUAACCUGCCCUUGACUUUGGGAUAACUUCAGGAAACUGGGGCUAAUACCGGAUAGGAGCUCCUGCUGCAUGGUGGGGGUUGGAAAGUUUCGGCGGUUGGGGAUGGACUCGCGGCUUAUCAGCUUGUUGGUGGGGUAGUGGCUUACCAAGGCUUUGACGGGUAGCCGGCCUGAGAGGGUGACCGGCGAUGUGCGGAGUGCGAUACGCCCCAGACGCCUAAGGGAGGCAGCAGGGGGGCACAGGACACAACGGGCGGGCGGGGAAGGCAGCGGCGCGGCGCGUGGCGGGACGGCCGGCGGGGUGUAACCGGCGUGCGCCUGGGGGGAAGCGGGCUUGUGGGUAAGAGGUAGGGAAGCACCGGCUAACGACCGGCCAGACGCGGCGGUAAGGAUCGAAGAGCACACGCUUGACC
rnacentral:rRNA from 1 species